AUUGUUCAACAUUGCUAUCUUUGCUGCCAGAACUUUCCUCCCCUUUAUGAUAGCAUGGAAACCCAUCCAUGGAGUGAGAUUGGAUCUCUGUCAUGUUCGCUUCUACAGUGCCAUUAAUAUUGGCAGCGUUAUCAUAUUCUUCCUUGUCAUCAAAUACAUAUUCAGCAUCCGUGAAUUCCAACAAAGUCUCAUCUGUUUCAGUAUAACAAGGAAGC
rnacentral:misc_RNA from 1 species